rnacentral:rRNA from 1 species
UACGGGGGGGGCAAGCGUUGUUCGGAAUUACUGGGCGUAAAGGGCUCGUAGGCGGCCAACUAAGUCAUACGUGAAAUCCCUCGGCUUAACCGGGGAACUGCGUCUGAUACUGGAUGGCUUGAGUUCGGGAGAGGGAUGCGGAAUUCCAGGUGUAGCGGUGAAAUGCGUAGAUAUCUGGAGGAACACCGGUGGCGAAGGCGGCUCUCUGGACAGGUACUGACGCUGAGACGCGAAAGCGUGGGUAGCAAACAGG